rnacentral:rRNA from 1 species
GCCCGCAAGGGGAGCGGCAGACGGGUGAGUAACGCGUGGGAACGUACCUUUUGCUACGGAAUAACUCAGGGAAACUUGUGCUAAUACCGUAUGUGCCCUUCGGGGAAAGAUUUAUCGGCAAAGGAUCGGCCCGCGUUGGAUUAGCUAGUUGGUGAGGUAAAGGCUCACCAAGGCGACGAUCCAUAGCUGGUCUGAGAGGAUGAUCAGCCACACUGGGACUGAGACACGGCCCAGACUCCUACGGGAGGCAGCAGUU